rnacentral:rRNA from 1 species
CCUACGGGAGGCAGCAGUAGGGAAUCUUUCACAAUGGGCGAAAGCCUGAUGGAGCAACGCCGCGUGCAGGAUGAAGGCCGUCGGGUUGUAAACUGCUUUUAUAAGCGAGAAAUAUGAUGGUAACUUAUGAAUAAGGAUCGGCUAACUACGUGACAGCAGCCGCGGUCAUACGUAGGAUCCGAGCAUUAUCCGGGGUGACUGGGUGUAAAGAGUUGCGUAGGUGGCAUAAUAAGUAGCUAGUGAAAUCUGGUGGCUCAACCAUUCAGACUAUUAGCUAAACUGUUAAGCUCGAGACCGUUAGGGGUAACUGGAAUGUCUAGUGUAGGAGUGAAAUCCGUAGAUAUUAGAAGGAACACCAAUAGCGUAGGCAGGUUGCUGGGACGGUUCUGACACUAAGGCACGAAAGCGUAGGGAGCAAACGGGAUUAGAUACCCCUGUAGUC